rnacentral:rRNA from 1 species
AAGCUCGUAGUUGAAUUUCGGGGUUAGUAGGUUGGUCAUGCCUCUGGUAUGUACUGGUCUCACUGAUUCCUCCUUCCUUAUGAACCGUAAUGCCAUUAAUUUGGUGUUGCGGGGAAUUUGGACUGUUACUUUGAAAAAAUUAGAGUGUUUAAAGCAAGCUAACGCUUGAAUACAUUAGCAUGGAAUAAUGAAAUAGGACGUUCGAUCUUAUUUUGUUGGUUUCUAGGAUUGACGUAAUGAUUAAUAGGAUAAUUGGG